rnacentral:rRNA from 1 species
CACGUAGGGGGCAAGCGUUGUCCGGAUUUAUUGGGCGUAAAGAGCUCGUAGGCGGCUCAGUAAGUCGGGUGUGAAACCUCCAGGCUCAACCUGGAGACGCCACCUGAUACUGCUGUGGCUAGAGUCCGGUAGGGGAGCGUGGAAUUCCUGGUGUAGCGGUGGAAUGCGCAGAUAUCAGGAAGAACACCCGUGGCGAAGGCGGCUCUCUGGAACGCAACUGACGCUGAGACGCGAAAGCGUGGGGAGCAAACAGG